rnacentral:rRNA from 1 species
AUUGAACGCUGGCGGCAUGCUUUACACAUGCAAGUCGAACGGCAGCGCGGGCUUCGGCCUGGCGGCGAGUGGCGAACGGGUGAGUAAUGCAUCGGAACGUGCCCAGUAGUGGGGGAUAGCCCGGCGAAAGCCGGAUUAAUACCGCAUACGACCUGAGGGUGAAAGCGGGGGACCGAAAGGCCUCGCGCUAUUGGAGCGGCCGAUGUCGGAUUAGCUAGUUGGUGGGGUAAAGGCUUACCAAGGCGACGAUCCGUAGCUGGUCUGAGAGGACGACCAGCCACACUGGGACUGAGACACGGCCCAGACUCCUACGGGAGGCAGCAGUGGGGAAUUUUGGACAAUGGGGGCAACCCGGAUCCAGCCAUGCCGCGUGCGGGAAGAAGGCCUUCGGGUUGUAAACCGCUUUUGUUCGGGAAGAAAUCCUCUGGGCUAAUACCCCGGGGGGAUGACGGUACCGGAAGAAUAAGCACCGGCUAACUACGUG